rnacentral:rRNA from 1 species
AUGGGCAACUUAGUACGGCGAGUGAGCGGUAAAAGCUCAAAUUUGAAAUCUGGUACUUUCAGUGCCCGAGUUGUAAUUUGUAGAAUUUGUCUUUGAUUAGGUCCUUGUCUAUGUUCCUUGGAACAGGACGUCAUAGAGGGUGAGAAUCCCGUUUGGCGAGGAUACCUUUUCUCUGUAAGACUUUUUCGAAGAGUCGAGUUGUUUGGGAAUGCAGCUCAAAGUGGGUGGUAAAUUCCAUCUAAAGCUAAAUAUUGGCGAGAGACCGAUAGCGAACAAGUACAGUGAUGGAAAGAUGAAAAGAACUUUGAAAAGAGAGUGAAAAAGUACGUGAAAUUGUUGAAAGGGAAGGGCAUUUGAUCAGACAUGGUGUUUUUUGCAUGCACUCGCCUCUCGUGGGCUUGGGCCUCUCAAAAAUUUCACUGGGCCAACAUCAAUUCUGGCAGUAGGAUAAAUCAUUAAGAAUGUAGCUACCUCGGUAGUGUUAUAGCUUAUUGGAAUACUGCUAGCUGGGAUUGAGGACUGCGCUUCGGCAAGGAUGUUGGCAUAAUGGUUAAAUGCCGCCCGUCUUGAACCACACGGGACCA